UGGGUGAACGUGAGUCUUUGUUACCAUGGGAUAAACCGAGGAAUCCCUUCUGUAAGACGUUCCACCUCCCUCUGGAAGGCAGACAUCUUGGGCAACCGUGGCUGAGGUUUAGUACUCAGAGAAACAACAGUUUAAGGGCCUGAAGGAGCUGAGUACCUACUAAUCGCUGGGGUAAGGACUAUGCUGAGCAAGAACAUAGGCCCGAAUGUCUGUGGAAUUUCGUCUCCAUGGAAAUCCCAAAGAUAAUGUGCGGGUAGGAAGAACACCGGAAAAGACUUAACCCUCUGGGCUCCUCUCAGCCUCCCUUCCUGGAUUGCAGAGUGGGAGACUGAGGCCCAGAGGGACAGCAGGACUCAUGCAGGGCCUUGGAACAUAUUAAUGUCACCAUUGAGAUACUCCACUGUGGUUCCUUCAACACCUUGGAGCAUUUCAAGUCUUUUCUGUUUACUUAUCAAAGGGUUAACACAAAACAUCUGUUGAAGUGAAGAUACAUGGACUGUUAUGGGCUGAGUUAUCUGCCCCCCUGCCGCCCGCCAAAUUCAUAUGUUGAAGCCCUAACACCCAGUACCUGGGCAUGUGACUGUCUCUGCAUAUAGGGCCUUAAAAAGAGUAAUUAAGGUGAAAUGAGGUCACAUGGGUGGGCCCUAAGCCAACAGGAUGGGUGUCCUUAUAAGAAGAGGAGAUCGCAACACAGACACACACAGGAAGAAGUCAGCUAUCUAUGAGCUAAGCAGAGAGGCCUCAGAGGAAACCAACACCACCGACACCUUGAUCUUGGACUUCUAAC